ACGGGGUGCAGCAGGCGCGAAAACUUCACACUGGGGGGAACCCCGAUGAGGGAAAUCCUAGUGCUAGGACAUUUGUUCUAGCUUUUCUCAAGCGUAGAUAACUUGAGGAAUAAGGGCUGGGUAAGACGGGUGCCAGCCGCCGCGGUAAUACCUGCAGCCCAAGUGGUGGUCGAUUUUAUUGAGUCUAAAACGUUCGUAGCCGGUUUGGUAAAUCUUUGGGUAAAUCGGGAGGCUCAACUUUCCGACUUCCGAAGAGACUGCCAAACUUGGGACCGGGAGAGGCUAGAGGUACUUCUGGGGUAGGGGUAAAAUCCUGUAAUCCUAGAAGGACCACCGGUGGCGAAGGCGUCUAGCUAGAACGGAUCCGACGGUGAGGGACGAAGCCCUGGGUCGCAAACGGGAUUAGAUACCCCGGUAGUCCAGGGUGUAAACGCUGCCGACUUGGUGUUGGAGGCCCUUCGGGGGCAUUCAGUGCCGGAGAGAAGUUGUUAAGUCGGCUACUUGGGGAGUACGUCCGCAAGGAUGAAACUUAAAGGAAUUGGCGGGGGAGCACAAU
rnacentral:rRNA from 1 species